UACGUAGGUGGCAAGCGUUGUCCGGAAUUAUUGGGCGUAAAGCGCGCGCAGGCGGUCCUUUAAGUCUGAUGUGAAAGCCCACGGCUCAACCGUGGAGGGUCAUUGGAAACUGGGGGACUUGAGUACAGAAGAGAAGAGUGGAAUUCCACGUGUAGCGGUGAAAUGCGUAGAGAUCCGGAGGAACACCAGUGGCGAAGGCGACACGCUGGGCCGUACCUGACACUGAUGCGCGACAGCAUGGGGAGCAAACAGG
rnacentral:rRNA from 1 species